CUCUUUUCUGGAUAUUGUUAUAGUUUAUAUCUAGAUGUCCCCCUAAAGCCUCAUGUGCCCAUAGGAUUGUGAGAUACUGUUAUUUAUCUAGACUUCAGAUAAUUUUUAUUUUUCUGCACCCCAGAGUAAAUCCCUUGACUUCUUCUUUUUCUAAUCCCUUGACAUCUGUGUCUUAACUUCUACCUGACUGCUUACAAAUUAAUCUGAUAGCUGUCAUUCAAGUCUAUUCAGUAAGCACAAAAGCUUUUCCAUAGCUCCAGUCAUUUUUCCCAUUGUUGUAUAGUGGAUCCCAGUAACAUCACCCUAAAGCUGGGAUUCUUCUCUGUGAGGCCUUUUCUCCAUCAAGCUGGCCUUACCUGAAGAAACAUGGAGAAACUAAAAACUUCUGAUUCCUUUUGGAGAUGAGAAAUUGUCCAGAUAUUGGUAAAUGUUAAGUGUGGAUCUUGGAAUAAAUGAACAUGUGAAGAGACAAAUGGGAAUGAUUAAACUGCCAGACUCAUGGAGCCUUGAAGAAGAUGGGGUAUGGAAUAGAAGGAUGAGCAGAAGAACUGAGUAGGGACAUUUCAUUUUGUGCUUACCAGAGUUUUAUCUGCCCUGUGCCUUGGACAGCGAGCUUUGGGGACAACCAAGCACUUGGAUCUGUUGCCCACUUAGGGAGACGGCAACUCAGACACACUUGUGUAUGCUCCCCAAAGUAAAGGAGGCUCCCUUCCCAAGGACGGAAGGGUGACAAGGGCAAUUAGGAGGCUCGGCAGGUUUGUAUGAAAGGAAAGAGGCAUAUAUCUUUUUUAAAAGAUCACUUUGACUCCCGUGGGUCAGGUGACUUAAAGUGGAAGAAAUUAAAGAUCUGACUCUAAAUAUAGAACUGUAGGAGGUAAAUUCUAGAAAGGAUUUUGGAAGGACUCUUGCCAGGCCUUAGCAAUCAACUGUAGGUGGGUGUGGUGAUGGAGAGGAAUGGGUCUCUAUUAUUAUGUCUCAGGUAUUUCAGUGAUGGAGCCCAAAGGCACAGAUUUGUUGGCAGUGGGGAUGAGGUGAGAGCAGGUGAGGUGAAAGGGUGAAGGGAAUAGAGAGAGUGUCACUUUUGCCAGUAGCCUCCCUUUGACCCCUAGGGUGUGUCUGGUUGAUAGUUCCAACAUAGGGCACUUUUAUGUUUUCCACAGGUCCAAGGGUCUUUGUGUAUUUUGAGAGAUAAGGUGGAGUCUGGUGCAUUCACACAAGGACAGUUGAGGGGCUAGUAUCAGGAUGGGCAGAGGCGGAAUGGAUUUUGGAGAACAGGGAAGAAAAAAGUCUGAGGAAGCAAAGCUGUUUAAAAACCAGUACUCUUUCCAUUUCUGUAUCAUUUAACCAAAUGCUAUUCUGUGGGUUUUGUCACUUGAUUCUCACACCAAUCUGAACUCAGCAAGACUGGGUCAUUGCUGACCCUAGGGCUAACAGGGUUUCUAGGCUGGUGUUUCUAAUGCUGAGCACUUGCUAACACAAGAUGAGGGCUCUGUGAAUCCCCUCCCUUUUUGAGAACCAAACUAUUUAAUUCCUUGUCAUAGACAAAGCCCAGACAGAAGGUGAGGGCACAUGGUAUCUCCUUAAACUUGGGGAGGACUCCUCCAGUGCCUCCAGGUUCCCUUCUGAGCCCUCCAAGUCUGGGAGUGAGGAAGCCCCCACCCCCCAACCUUCACUACUCCAGCCUCAGGGAGCCUUAGGACUCCAACACUGAAGGAAUAGGGUCUGACCUCAUCUUUUGCUGUAGGGGUGGGGAGACUGAGGCAGGCAAUGAAGGAGCCAUCCUGGAUGGACUUCUUUCCCAAAGGCCUUGGUCUCUCUAAUCAUAGAUUCCUCUGCAGGGACCGAAGAGAUGGCUUGGAAAUGGACACCACUUCUGCUUCUUCUGGCCUGGACAGCCAACAUAUUGCAGCUCCUGGUACAGGGCAGACCUGGUCAAUGUAUGGAUAUCAAGCACCACAAGUGCAGCUCCUGGACCAACACCUGCUAUUAAGCCAGCACAACCCAGUAACUACACAAGAAACCCUCCUACCUGUACAAUUUUAACUGGGAUCACUGCAGCAAGAUGGAGCCCACUUGCCAGAGACACUUCAUGGGAGACAGCUGUCUGUAUGAGUGCUUGCUCAACCCGGGAUGCUGGAUCCAGCACAUAACUGUGUGCUCCUCACCCCACUCCAGCAGGCUGUCCUCUGGCUCAGUCCGUGCAAGGUCAUGACUGUCAACAUCCCACUCCAUCCAGGUGGACUCAAGCUUUCCCAGAACACUUUUAGUGGGUGGACCCUUAUGCAAAGAUGACUGUCAGCGCUGGUGGGAAGACUGGGGCACCUCCUACACCUGCAACACAGAAUGGCCACAAGAGCUGGAACUGGACCUCAGGUGAGGCCUGGGGUGAGGAGAUAGAGGAACUAGUUGGAAAAGGGAACGUUCAAGAUUUAGAGUUGGAUGAUUUCUAGGGUGGUCAAAAAUGAGCUUUGGGCCCAGAGCUGCAUGUCUGUGUCCACAAUGAUUCUCCCUGCAGGAAUUAAUAAAUGCCCAGCCUGAGCUGUCUGCUGCA